ensembl:lncRNA
AUGAUGAUGAUGAUGAUGAUGAUGAUGAUUAUUAUUAUUAUUAGACUGGGGUAUGUGUGGUCAAUCAGAUGCUGUUGGACUGCAAUUACCACCAGCCCUAGUUACCUCAAUGGUGAGAAAUGUUGGGUUUCCAUGUCAACAACCUCUGAGGUGGAUCUAUUCCCUAUCUUUGGGUCUCUGGUUUUCUCAGCUCUGCUGAAGAUACUGGAGAUGGUGCCUGGGUGUUUCUGCAUGCAAAGCAGGUGCUUGAAGCUCUGUAGACAAAGCUGGUGUUAUGGAGUUAUGAUUCUUCCCAAGAGAAAGUGCUUAGUUUUCAAACUACUAAAAAGAGCUUGUAGUUUUUUUUAAGGAUGAGAGAAACAGUGCCAGACAAAGAAACCAACAUACGGAAGCCUUUUCCUCAUUGCCAUCACUCAACAGCUCAUUAAGCUUUCCCUCACUGGGGUGGCUGAGCUCCGGAUGUGGGCCACUGUUUGAGGUUUUGACGAGAAAAGUAAAAAAAACCAACUGAGAUGAAUAUAAAAGUUUCCUCUUGAAAACAGAUCAGCUUCCUCCAUUCUCUACUGACGCAGAUAUGGCGAGGCUAGGAAGGGGGGGGGGAGGGAUGGGCCAGGGCACUGCUGACUAGUGACCUGCUGAGUUGCCAGAAUGGAUCGGUCCUCUUUAUGGAGCAAUGCCAGCUCUGCCGGUGGGUUUUCCUAGGACCCUGCAUGCUCUUCUAAGAAUUAGGUAAGCAACAAUACUAGACAAGUCCAGAUCUGCUGUAUAUCCUAGGCACCUUUUUUGACAUUUGUAUGCAUGUGUGUGGGAGGGAUCACAAGUGGAGGAAGGCAACAGCUCUGGGGCAGAACAGGGUGAAACUAUAGCAGGGUGGGGUCUUUGUAUGAUAUGUGUGUGAGUUUUUAAAAAUUGAACCCCAAGAGCCACCAGGCAAAGCCCUACGCAAAACAGAGGCAUAUAUUAUGCGGAAAAUAAGGAACAAGGGUGCUUCAGAGCACAUGAUCAACCACAGGAAUUUGUGGUUGAUAUUAGAAUCAAGGUUGCAAGAGCUUUCACACACAUGCUCACUCCUGGUCCCACACUCCCAUCCCUGUGUGUUUCAGCAAAUUUUGUCUUCUUUCCCAAGGAUAUGCAAUGUGGCUUUUAAAAAUUACUAUUACUAUUAUCAGACAGUGGGAGCCACUUCAAUUGUUUUACUGCAAAUCACUCAGGGAUCUAUCAGUAGCAUCCUGAUUGAUUUUCUGUCCACCACCAAACUUAGGGGUCACUUGGCAUUAUGAACUCAAGAUUACCAUGCCUUCAAAUUUUAAAAGAGCUUUUCAUGAACUCUAUUUGAAUUUUCAGGUGAGUUACAGCCACAAGUUUCAGGGUGCAUAGAAUUUAGUUUGACACCACUUUCACUCCCAUUUGCUGUAAAGUUGCACUGGAGAACCUAAAAAUGACUAAAGAGCAUAUUUUAAUCAAAUCUGCAAAAAUCAAACCUGCAAAUGUUGUGGGCUGACUACUGUAAUUCCAUUCCAUUGAUUUCAACUAUUUCCAUCAACACAGCAACAGUCUCUUUUCUCUGCUCUUAUUAUUAUUAUUAUUAUUAUUAUUAUUAUUAUUAUUAUUAUUAUUAUUAUUACAAUAUACAAUUUGGGCAAGGGCUGCCUGAGAGUAUCUUAGCACUCAUUUAAUUUCACAAUGGCUGGCAUCCUGUUGAUGUUUUACAUACUAACAGCUGACCUUCUGUAUCCAUGGAGUCUGCAUUCACAGAUUCAAUCAAGCAUGGUUUGAAUUUUUUAAAUACAAAAGGCAUACUUUUAUUUUGCCAUUUUAUAUAAGGGACACUAUUUCAUUAUAAGAUUGUAUUUAAUGGUGCUUGAGCAUCUACAGAUUUUUCACAGGAGGUCCUGGUACCAAACCUCAGCAAAUACCAAGGGCCCACCAUAAUUAUAUAUUGUGGAAGGGAAGUAGGUGAAUG